GGCAAGCUCGCGCCAUCUGCUGGCAGCUCCCAGAAGCUUAAGGAAGGGGAAAGGCGGUUAAGGUGGGCCAGGAAUGGUUUCUUAUUUAAUGUAGCUUCCAUAAAAAUGAAACUGCAGAAUCACUGGAUGUUUUUAUUUUUAAAAGACAGGAGAGGCAACACCCACAACUCCUGGGACCUUAACCCAGCAGCUUCAUGCAACUUAUAACCAAAGAAAGAGGGUCACGGACACUAGUCAAAGGCUCUUGGUCCACACUGAAGACCUUCUUGUGAUGGCAGAAUACAAGAGUACAUGUCCAAGAGCUCAGAGAACCACCGAGGCAGAGAAGCAGCAGCAUAGACCAGCCAGUGCCUGUUCUCCUGUUUCACCGUGUGGUCUUGGAAGACAGCCUCCUUGAUCUAAAGGCCUGAGCUUUGCCCUGCUAUUCUAGCUUUUGGGAAUGUUGACCGUCUACCUCAUUAAGUUUCUAGUUUCAGAAACCCGAACAAACUCAUUUGAGGUCCUAGAGCACACGAAUGAUAUAAAGUAGCCGGAUACACUCCUGUCCUUCUCAGUGUAAGUGCCCACACAUAAAUAAACCAGACUGUAGAGAGUUCCACUGCUGUAAAUAGAAAGUUGUUGCCAUUGUUCUCCUUCUCCAAGUCAGAAUGGCCCAGUUUAUAUUAACACACUCACUCUAGUGGCAAAUACACUCUUUAUUUCCCCAUCUUAAAUUGCAUAUUGAAAUUCUCUGGGAAAAUGCUAGAUACUUGCAGUGUCUAGUAUGAUGAUAUUAAGUAUUAGUAUCAGACUCUUUAGUGUCUAAUUUGUAAAAGUUGACCUGACAUCUUUAACGUGCAAUAUCAGACUUAAAUUAUAGAAAAGCCAAGAAGACUCGCGGUUGGAGAUGGUGGCUUAAUCUGUGGUGAUUUAGAACAGUGGUUCUCCAAAGUUCACCUGGACUUCGGGUUCAAACACAACCCACAGCACCUCCUCCCCAGAGCUGCCUACCUGGGGAGGUGGAUAGGACACUGUCAUUGCCUCUCUAGGAACUUCCCAGGAUGGUGCUAAAACUAUUGGUCCUGGGAACCUAUUCUGAGUCUCACUCAUUAAAACGGCUAUUGGAAGAAUCAGUGAGGGCAAACCCAA